GAGUUUGAUCCUGGCUCAGGAUGAACGCUGGCGGCGUGCCUAACACAUGCAAGUCGAGCGGGGUGUCAGUUGACACCGAGCAUCUUUGGAAACAGGGGUGUUGGGUGUUGACUGGCACUUAGCGGCGGACGGGUGAGUAACGCGUGGGUAACCUGCCUCAUACAGGGGGAUAACAGUUAGAAAUGACUGCUAAUACCGCAUAAGACCACGGUACCGCAUGGUACAGUGGUAAAAACUCCGGUGGUAUGAGAUGGACCCGCGUCUGAUUAGGUAGUUGGUGGGGUAACGGCCUACCAAGCCGACGAUCAGUAGCCGACCUGAGAGGGUGACCGGCCACAUUGGGACUGAGACACGGCCCAGACUCCUACGGGAGGCAGCAGUGGGGAAUAUUGCACAAUGGAGGAAACUCUGAUGCAGCGACGCCGCGUGAAGGAUGAAGUAUUUCGGUAUGUAAACUUCUAUCAGCAGGGAAGAAAAUGACGGUACCUGACUAAGAAGCCCCGGCUAACUACGUGCCAGCAG
rnacentral:rRNA from 2 species